rnacentral:rRNA from 1 species
CCUACGGGUGGCAGCAGUGAGGAAUAUUGGUCAAUGGGCGCGAGCCUGAACCAGCCAAGUCGCGUGAGGGAGGACGGCCCUACGGGUUGUAAACCUCUUUUGCCGGGGAGCAACGGGCGCCACGUGUGGCGUCCCUGAGAGUCCCCGGAGAAAAAGCAUCGGCUAACUCCGUGCCAGCAGCCGCGGUAAUACGUAGGUGGCAAGCGUUAUCCGGAUUUACUGGGUGUAAAGGGCGUGUAGGCGGGAAAGCAAGUCAGAUGUGAAAACCAUGGGCUCAACCUGUGGCCUGCAUUUGAAACUGUUGUUCUUGAGUACGGGAGAGGCAGACGGAAUUCCUAGUGUAGCGGUGAAAUGCGUAGAUAUUAGGAGGAACACCAGUGGCGAAGGCGGUCUGCUGGACAGCAACUGACGCUGAGGCGCGAAAGCGUGGGGAGCAAACAGGAUUAGAUACCCUGGUAGUC